rnacentral:rRNA from 1 species
UGGGGAAUAUUGCACAAUGGAGGGAACUCUGAUGCAGCGACGCCGCGUGAGUGAUGAAGGAAUUCGUUUCGUAAAACUCUGUUCUAUGGGAAGAAAAGGACUGUACCAUAGGAGAAAGCUCCGGCUAAAUACGUGCCAGCAGCCGCGGUAAUACGAAUGGAGCGAGCGUUGUCCGGAAUUAUUGGGCGUAAAGGGUGCGCAGGCGGCUUUACAAGUUGGGUGUGAAAUAUUGUGGCUCAACCACAAACGUGCAUCCAAAACUGCAAAGCUUGAGUUAAGGAGAGGUAAGUGGAAUUCCUGGUGGAGCGGUGGAAUGCGUAGAUAUCAGAAGGAAUACCGGUGGCGAAGGCGACUUACUGGAAUAAAACUGACGCUCAGGCACGAAAGCGUGGGGAGCAAACAGG